GCACUCAAUCAGGGCGAUCCUAGGCUCGCACGGCGGCUGUCCACCGUUUCCCUCCGCCCACCGCGCCGACGCCCGGGCGCCCACGCCACCCUUUCCCCGACCACCCUCUGCGCAGCCCGGGCCCAAGCGGCGGGACGCAGGCUCUCGGACCCGGAGCCGGUUCCCGCUUCUCUCGCUAGAGGGCAGACGGGGCCCGCUCAAAGCCCUCAGACCGAAGGGCACGCGCAGCCGGUAGAGAUCCCGCAAUCGGAGCCGCACUCCGGGGCUGGGCUCCGCGACCAACGUGGGGUCCGAGAUCAGAGCCCGGGAGCGCGACGCACGGCAGACCCAGAGGACCCGGGAGGAACGGCCAGCAAUCUCGGGGUGCGCACAGCGCACGGGCACCAGGUGGAGGCGGCGCCGGCACGGCAGUUCGGGGACCCGGUUGGGCGCCAAGAGAGCUGCGCGAGGACUCACGGGACGCGGCUAGGUGCCCGCCUGGGAGCAGCGGAGCGGCUGGCACUCACCUGGGCUCGGGUCGCCUUCGGCGGGCGCGGGCUUCCCGCGGGAUCCCCGGUCCUUCUUCUUGCCCUUCCCCUUGCCUCUGCCUUCUUUGCGCUCAGACAUCUCGCUAAAGAUGAGCGCUCUACGCGGACCCGGCUGGGCGACGGUGACGCGCGACAAGUUUGGUCCAAGGGCUUGCAGAAAAGUUUGUCCCGGGAGGGAAGAGCCAGUGGCCGGGCUGCGCGGGGGCGUCGCCUGUCGCCUGCAGGGAGCGGCGUGGACUCGAUCACCUGGAGCGCCCGCUACGUCUGGGGGUGUCUCGGGGCUACUCUUGUGUCCCGGGUCCUGCCGCUGCCGGCUCUGGAGUGGCCUCGCUCCGGUGGCUGUCUCGCUCCCUUACAGCCCGAAGAGGGAAAGGUGCUCACAGUCCGGUCUAUGCUCGCAUCUCCCGGCAGCUGCCGCCGCUGCGCUGCGUUCCGCUCCUGCUGCCGGCGCGGCCCGGAGUUCCCACAAGUUUUGGGGAAGUCCUAGCCGGCUCUUUUUCAAUUGCCCGCAGGUUGGACGCAGGCGCCUCCUUCGCACCCUCCCCCUCGCCUCGCCCCCUCCCUCUUUCCCCACCACACCCCCACCCCGAGGCGCAGACACGCCACCGGGAGGAGCCUGAGCUGGGCGAUCACCGCUCAGCCCCUUUCUUCUGGCAGCUGGGCCAGCCUAGGGGCGGCGGAGCCCAGCGGCUGCCGGGAACUCCCGACAGGGGUCGCUGGAAGCUUCGCUGACAAAGUCGCAGCCGCCGCGGGACAGAACAGAGCAGUCUGGAGAGGCCAGGAAGGCAGGAAGGCGACCCUGGUGCUCGCAGUCCCUGNNNNNNNNNNNNNNNNNNNNNNNNNNNNNNNNNNNNNNNNNNNNNNNNNNNNNNNNNNNNNNNNNNNNNNNNNNNNNNNNNGGGGGGAGGGAUGGAGAAAACUUUGCAACCGUAGCACCUGCCCCAUAAUGAAAGCUCUGGAGACCUGGAGCCCCGGUGAGGGAGAAGGAACAGUUGCUAUUUCCCAGAAGGGUUCAGAGUUCAUUUCUCUCUUGCUUUAGGGAAGUUUCCCUCUGGCACUAAGAGCGAAGGUGCAGCCUGGAGUGGAAGGGAAUUUGAGGUACCCAGGAAGGGUUCUGUGAACUUCAAGCAUGGACAGCUUGCACUUCGUACAUCUGCCACUUGAGCAUGUGUCUGCCUUCCCGUGCUAAAUAGCAUGACUGUUGGAUUUCCCAUCUCCAUUAAAAAAAAUACUCUAGCUUCUUCCCAAGCACACGUAUCUCUUACUACAGCUUAAGUUUUAAAAGAACUGAGGAGCCAUAGUUCACCAUAGAGAGUAACAUGUCUACGGUGUGGAUGGGUACAAGUCAGAUGCGCGGGGGGGGGGGGGGGUGGGGCCGUAGAACUGUAGUGCAGACCCUUAGUUCAGUAAUACCAGCCCCCUCCCACACCCAUUAGACUUUCUGAGAAUUGCUAGUGAAUCCUAGCGUUCCUGGAUCCAGGUGGAGAACUCUAAGGAAUAGUCAGAGACCAGAGUGAUCUGCACCAAGGAGUGAUUCACAAUGGUCUCCACAUAGAGACAGAUGCUGUCAUCAACACACACACAGUUGUGGCCAACUUAGCCUGCUCUUUUACUGAUGGUAUAGAGUUGUGGUCGAGAAACAGCUCGCACCAACGAUCAAUAUUCUACAGCUAUCCCACUUUCAGAGUGAUUUGGCUCCUUCCUUUUCGCUUCCUGGAGUUAAUACUAACAGACCCGUGGCUGUCCACAGCUUUCCCUGUGUUCUCUGGCUGCCACGAUUUAAACAAAGGUGAAAUCCAGAGUACACCUGUCACACAUGGGUGGGAAGGAAAAACGGGGCAAAGAUGUUCAUUUUAAAUCGUCUUAAGAAUCGCUUCCAUCCUACUUUAAUUUUCGUUGGAUUAAGAAUCAAACUCUGUAAGAUAGGUGCAAUUGUUAAGAUAGCUCAACAGUACUAGCAUCAUUCUUUACUCUUAAACCUUUAGUGUCCAGACACCUUUGAUAGCUUUCCAGCAAAUACCACAUAGUGUGGUAUUUGUGCCAAACAGCAGAACCCCAGGAAAGAUUAUGACUCUGUGAAAAGCACUGCAGCCGGCCUGGGCCAUUCAGAGUGAAGGGAAAGUGGCCCCAGAGCCGGCUGGAAUAACUCCACUUUCCCAGGAGGGGCCACUGCUCAGCCAGCGAGGAGUGAGCGGCAGCAAGCCGCUGAAAGCAGAAACCUUUCAUUUCAGAGUGUAUUUAUCUGGAGGAUGUGAGGCAGUUAGAGAGCUCACGAUUACUAACCACAUGUUGUCAAACACCAGCAUUUUAGAAUCAAAGGGCUGAAAACAAGCUUGCAUCUUGGAACUUAAAAAAAAUAAGUGUAAGAUCUUCCCAAAUACUUGGGUAAUCAAAACCCAAGGCUACAGGAACACCAUCUUCUACCUUUUGUUCCCGAGUCUAGAUACGUUACUUCCCAGAACACCUUCAUGGUGGGAGUAUCUCCAGGAGGAUAAAAGGAGUCUACACUUCCUGAAAUUUUCUACUUGAAUAAAACCACUGUGAUAGGUGACAAACCUCCGAACUAUUUUACCAAGAAAAAUGACUGAUGCUCCAGUAACUUCAGAAUAAAGCACCAACAGUGUUCCCAUGGAAACUGUGGGGGUGGGGAAUGGAUGGAUAUGAUUUGGAUGUAAGCAGUAACUAGCAGUACAUGAUUUUUUAAACUUGGUUAGAUGACGAUGGAAGAGGAGAAGUGGGGAGAUGAGUUGUGGUAGUAGGUGCUGAUGGAAAUUUCAAGACACAUGACAGAGUGUCAUUUAAUGGCAAGGCUGCUUCCUAGAACUUUGCCCUGAUUCUGGAAUCCUAUUUUAUUGCCAGUUAAAGCUGAAUUAGCAGGAACUUCUCCACAAAGCCAUUUAUUUUUUAUGUUAUUUUGAGUUGAUUUCUUGAGUAUAUUUUACUACAUGAUUUACAACCAACUGAAAGAUUAACCAAAAAGUCAAUUUCUUCGAUAGUUAAAAUAUUUAUGAGAUUGGUCAAAACUUCAAAAUUGUGCUUAAAUUAUUCAUUUCUGUGGUCAGUAAGUGGCAAAUGUAAUGGUUUUGUGUUUUAAAAAAUACUUUGGAACUGACUUAAGGACUAAAAAAAAAAAGUAUUCUUUUUAAAAACUAUUUAAGCAGGUGUGGAGAUGAUUCAUCUUGUAAUCUCCGAACUUCAGCAGAUGAGGCAAAAGUACCACCAGGGGCCUUAAGGCCAGCCUGAGCUGCAGAAGGAGACCACAAGUAACACAGACCCAAAAUGUUACAAAUAUAACUAGUUAAAUAGAAAAAUAUUAAAUGUUAGCCUUAGUCAAAACAUUUCAAAGUGAAAUAACUUAGUGAAUUUAACAAACUUGUUAUGUUUUGUUCAGCUCCUUGAACAGGUAUCAUGUAUGGCUGGCCAGCUAUCAACUUACACCAAAGUGUCAACAUACAUCAACCGGCAGAAGAAGAGGACAUUAUGAAGUCACCCUGAGAAAUGAAGGUGAGAAGGCGGCUUGCACAGAAUGACAGAAUGUCAAGGUGUUUUCUUUAAAUCGCCUUUGUGAGUUUCACCUGUGUGCUAUGAUUCCUGGCUCUGUCCAUUCCCUUGGUCUAAAUCUACAAACACAGCCUCGUGAGCAGGCUUAAUGACCUCUCCUUGCUCCAAGCCUGGGAUGUACAGCUUCUCUUUCCACCAGCUUACUUCUCACUCCACACAACAGUGGUCUGCCUCCAUCUAAUCACUGAAUCAAGUGACUCUCCCUGGCUGCCUUGGAAACACCUUGGAGUUCAGCUGGAAGUCCUCUUUACAUUCUGCUCUUACCCACUGUCCUUAUGCACACAGCAGAUAAAAAUGGGCUUCUCUGUGCAUUCUUAUAGCUCAGACUCUGUGUGCAUUUAACAAAUAUCCAAGAGAGAAAUCACAUGGCUUGAUGGCUUUUAAACAUCAGCCCACAAGAUCCUCUCCAAGGUUAACAUUUCUUUCCUUUGAAAUACACUUUCCCGUGCCUGGGAAAAGAGUCCUCCCUAUUAAAUUUAUAAUGAUGCU
ensembl:lincRNA Gm26578 predicted gene, 26578